AUUGAACGCUGGCGGCAGGCCUAACACAUGCAAGUCGAGCGAGCGGCAGACGGGUGUGUAAUGUCUGGGAAACUGCCUGAUGGAGGGGGAUAACUUCUGGAAACGGUAGCUAAUACCGCUUACCAUCAGAUGUGCCCAGACGGGAUUAGCUUGUGGGUGGGGUUACGGCUCACCUAGGCGACGAUCCCUAGCUGGUCUGAGAGGAUGACCAGCCGCACGGGAACUGGGACACGGUCCAUAGGCCUACGGGAGGGAGCAGUGGGGAAUAUGGGACAAUGGGGGGAAGCCUGGCACAGCGGUGGGGCGUGUGUGAAGGAGGCGUUGGGGUGGUAAAGAAGUUUCUGCGGGGAGGCGGUACACGCAGAAGAAGCACCGGCUAACUCCGUGCCAGCAGCCGCGGUAAUAC
rnacentral:rRNA from 1 species